GACGAACGCUGGCGGCGUGCUUAACACAUGCAAGUCGAACGGGCCUUGUCCCCUUUUUUUUGGGGGUGGGGUUAGUGGCGAACGGGUGAGUAACACGUGAGUAACCUGCCCCUCACUUCUGGAUAACCGCUUGAAAGGGUGGCUAAUACGGGGUGUUCUGGCCUGCUCGCAUGGGUGGGUUUGGAAAGAUUCGACCGGUUUUGGUUGUUUUGGUGGGGGAUGGGCUCGAGGCCUGUGAGCUUGUUGGUGGGGUGAUGGCCUGCCAAGGCUUUGCCGGGUAGCCGGCCUGAGAGGGUGGGCGGUCACACUGGGAGUGAGACGCGGCCCAGACUCCUACGGGAGGCAGCAGUGGGGAAUAUUGCACAAUGGGCGCAAGCCUGAUGCAGCGACGCCGCGUGAGGGAUGGAGGCCUUCGGGUUGUGAACCUCUUUCGCCAGUGAAGAAGGUCCUGCUCUUUGUGGUGGGGUUGACGGUAGCGGGGUUAAUGAAGCGCCGGCUAACUACGUG
rnacentral:rRNA from 1 species